CAUGCAAGUCGAGCGGUAGCACAGAGAGCUUGCUCUCGGGUGACGAGCGGCGGACGGGUGAGUAAUGUCUGGGAAACUGCCUGAUGGAGGGGGAUAACUACUGGAAACGGUAGCUAAUACCGCAUAAUGUCGCAAGACCAAAGUGGGGGACCUUCGGGCCUCAUGCCAUCAGAUGUGCCCAGAUGGGAUUAGCUAGUAGGUGGGGUAACGGCUCACCUAGGCGACGAUCCCUAGCUGGUCUGAGAGGAUGACCAGCCACACUGGAACUGAGACACGGUCCAGACUCCUACGGGAGGCAGCAGUGGGGAAUAUUGCACAAUGGGCGCAAGCCUGAUGCAGCCAUGCCGCGUGUGUGAAGAAGGCCUUCGGGUUGUAAAGCACUUUCAGCGGGGAGGAAGGCGUUAAGGUUAAUAACCUUGGCGAUUGACGUUACCCGCAGAAGAAGCACCGGCUAACUCCGUGCCAGCAGCCGCGGUAAUACGGAGGGUGCAAGCGUUAAUCGGAAUUACUGGGCGUAAAGCGCACGCAGGCGGUCUGUCAAGUCGGA
rnacentral:rRNA from 1 species